GCACUUACUGGGAAGGGGGAGAACCUUCGAUUAAGGUUCGACUCGAGCGAAAGCGAGAGAACGUUGCCAGCGGCAACGGCCCGAAGGGUGAGGAGCGAAGCGACGAAUAAUCCUUCCCCCACCACCA
rnacentral:sRNA from 1 species